rnacentral:rRNA from 1 species
GAGACAGUUCGGUCCCUAUCCGUCGCAGGCGUAGGAAAUUUGAGAAGACCUGUCCUUAGUACGAGAGGACCGGGAUGGACGUACCUCUGGUGUACCAGUUGUUCUGCCAAGGGCAUGGCUGGGUAGCUAUGUACGGAAUGGAUAAGCGCUGAAAGCAUCUAAGCGCGAAGCCAACUUCAAGAUAAGAUUUCCCACCGCAAGGGUA